AAGAUAAAUCUGUCUUUUCUAGGUAAAUUCAUGCUGGCCAUGAUGAUGGCUCAGGGCUGCUGAUUCUCCUGGAGGAGAUUCUACUGAAUUGUGAUUUUCAACAUCUUGUUCUUGGCAUCUAAAAAAGAAGUCAGGUGAACAGGACAAAGUAGAAGUUGAGGUGCCUCAAGAGAUGUCAUGGUAGCUCAAACCCACAUAAAAUCACAUCUGGAGCCUCCAAGGUCUAUAAUUACAGAACCAAGCCAUGAGAACAUGGUUUACUGUAACCCUAAGAAUUAGACAAUACAAAGAAUGACUCAACUUCAGUCUACCUUCUUAGGAAGCUGCAGGACAAACCACAAAGCCUGAAAUACAGAAAGGUUCCCUGUUUACCUGAUGACCCUGGUUAAAUGAACACUCAGGUACCCUGCUGAAAGAGCUGAUGCAUUUCCAUGACAAUGGGGCUGACAUGUGCUUUAACUGGACCCAAAGAGGCUGCAGUGUAGGGAGAGCUCCAGGCACAUGGUUGUCCCCCAGCAACAAGGUUUGAACAGGAAAGGACCUGGGGUCGAAAGCCCUCCCAGGAUGACAAGUAGAGAAGUGUGUCUACUGAAGCCUAAACCCAGCAGAGAAGAAGGAGAACUGAGUAAAGCAAAUGAGAAACUGAGUCCUGCUGAUGAAGAAAGGUCCUGAAUUGAGGAGAAACAGAAUGCUUACACUUACCUGUCCCUAGAUUUUCAGUCACAUAAGCUAAUUACUCAUCUUUCAGUUAAAGGUAUUUGAGAUUAAAUUUGCUUUCACUUUUAACUUCUAGUUGGAAAAUAAACCUAACUAAAAUUUUCA
rnacentral:lncRNA from 1 species